UUUCUAACUUUAAUAAGAUCAUAUUAUCACAUAUAUUCUAACAUUCUAAAUGGAUUAUAAAACAAUUCACACAUGGAACUACUUAUAUUAACAUGUUUUCUCAAUUUAUUCAUCUCUAAGCCUAGGAUCUAUCUAUCCAUUAACCAUGCUAGCACUAUUCCAAACAUUAUAGAGUCAUUUAUAUAUAAGUUAACUUUGUAAUACCCAAUUUGCCUGGCCCAAUAAAAAAAACAAAAAAAAUUAAAAAUCCAUAAGUCCAUCUACACUGCCCAAUUACAACAAAAACUAAACCCAAUUACAAUGGCCCAAAUAUCCCAGCCCAAUUACAUUAAAACCCAAAACGAAAAAUAAUUUUCAGAAACCCCUAGGGUUUCUAGAAUAUCUCAGCCGUCGCUCCAGUGCCGCAGCC
rnacentral:lncRNA from 1 species